AACGAACGCUGGCGGCAGGCCUAACACAUGCAAGUCGAGCGCGCCCUUCGGGGUGAGCGGUGGACGGGUGAGUAACGCGUGGGAACGUGCCCUUCUCUGCGGAAUAGCGUCGGGAAACUGAGAGUAAUACCGCAUACGCCCUUUGGGGGAAAGAUUUAUCGGAGGAGGAUCGGCCCGCGUUGGAUUAGGUAGUUGGUGGGGUAAUGGCUCACCAAGCCGACGAUCCAUAGCUGGUUUGAGAGGAUGAUCAGCCACACUGGGACUGAGACACGGCCCAGACGCCUACGGGAGGCAGCAGUGGGGAAUCUUAGACAAUGGGGGCAACCCUGAUCUAGCCAUGCCGCGUGAGUGAUGAAGGCCUUAGGGUUGUAAAGCUCUUUCAGCUGGGAAGAUAAUGACGGUACCAGCAGAAGAAGCCCCGGCUAACUCCGUGCCAGCCGCCGCAGUAA
rnacentral:rRNA from 1 species